rnacentral:lncRNA from 1 species
CGCGGAGGUCAGGAGGGAGGGCAGAGGGGGUCAGAGGCCGGCCCUUCCCGGCCCCCGGCGCCCCCGGAGGUCAGGGAGAUAAGAAACAAUGACUCUCGCCCCCGGGAGGAGGAAGGAAGCCCCGCUGCCGCCGCCUUAUCUCCGCUCCCGUGCGUUCUCCCAGUUCCCAGAGCUGGUUCUCUAGAGAGGACUUGGAAGGCGGCUUUUGACCCCCUCUGCAGAUGUCCUGAACACUUCUGACUACAGCAAUUGAUUUUUCAACCGGGAUACCUAAUUCCAGGUAUUAGCUCUUGUCAGAAAGCUUUUACAUCCAAGCU